rnacentral:rRNA from 1 species
CCUACGGGAGGCUGCAGUGGGGAAUAUUGGACAAUGGGGGCAACCCUGAUCCAGCCAUGCCGCGUGUGUGAAGAAGGCCCUCGGGUUGUAAAGCACUUUCAGUGAGGAAGAACGCCUGGUGGUUAAUACCCAUCAGGAAAGACAUCACUCACAGAAGAAGCACCGGCUAACUCCGUGCCAGCAGCCGCGGUAAUACGGAGGGUGCGAGCGUUAAUCGGAAUUACUGGGCGUAAAGCGCGCGUAGGUGGCUUGAUAAGCCGGUUGUGAAAGCCCCGGGCUCAACCUGGGAACGGCAUCCGGAACUGUCAAGCUAGAGUGCAGGAGAGGAAGGUAGAAUUCCCGGUGUAGCGGUGAAAUGCGUAGAGAUCGGGAGGAAUACCAGUGGCGAAGGCGGCCUUCUGGACUGACACUGACACUGAGGUGCGAAAGCGUGGGGAGCAAACAGGAUUAGAUACCCUUGUAGUC